rnacentral:lncRNA from 1 species
CGACAAUUAAAUCUGUUGUUGAGAAAUUCGAAAAAGAUGGGAAUGUCAAUCCAGGUUUGAUGCCCGUUCAUCACCCAAGUCGAGCUUAACAAGAAGAAAUAAAACUAGUGAUUUGCAUGUUCGUAAUUGAACUAGUGAUUUGAUGUCCAGAAUUUCUUGCGUCUCAAUCGCGCAUACAUUGCACGUCAGCAAAUCAUCCGUUAAAAAAAAAAAAGCAUUAAGAGAAAAGAACUUAUUCCCAUACAAAAAUCAAUGCCAUCAAGAAAUUCUUCCGGGAAAUGAUGAUAGAAGAAUGUUAUUUUGUGGAAAGAUGCUGGACAUGUACAAUGAUGACAAUUUGCUCUAUAAGCAGAUUGUUUCAAAUGAGUGUACAUUCUACAUCGAUC